rnacentral:rRNA from 1 species
UACAGAGGGUGCGAGCGUUAAUCGGAAUUACUGGGCGUAAAGGGUGCGUAGGCGGUCGAAUAAGUUAAUUGUGAAAGUCCCGAGCUUAACUUGGGGAUUGCAGUUAAUACUGUUCGGCUAGAGUGUUGUAGAGGUAAGCGGAAUUUCCGGUGUAGCGGUGAAAUGCGUAGAUAUCGGAAGGAACAUCGAUGGCGAAGGCAGCUUUCUGGACAACAACUGACGCUGAGGCACGAAAGCGUGGGGAGCAAACAGG